AGGGGAGUAGCUCAAUCGGUAGAGUAGCGGUCUCCAAAACCGUUGGUUGCGGGUUCAAGUCCUGUCUCCCCUGCCA
rnacentral:tRNA from 2 species